ACUCAUCCGGCUACACACAAAAAAAAACCUCAAACGAUCAUUAAUGGAGACUUCACGGAGGAGCCACUAUGCAGGAGGGGUCGUCGUUGUUCUCCUACUGCUCGUCGUCGUUGUCACGGGCCGUGAAUUUAACUCAAACUCGACUGAUGAUAGCAAAUUACCCCCAUGCUAUCAUUGGAGCCGCGACUUCAAGGGGACAUGCCUUGGGGACAAGAUUUGCACAAAUGUUUGCCUACACCAGGAUCCCUACAAUUUUAUUCGCGGCAAGUGUCGUGGCUUCCCGGCAGGGAAAUGCUUCUGCCUCUCAUGCUAGAUGACACAUAGUGGCAGUAGCGGUGGACCUAAUAAUAAUGGUGUUGCCUUCGUGUAAUGUUGUUUGACCCAUCAUUUGAGAGAGAGAGAGAAAAUGGCUUAUGGAAAUAAAAUUGCUGGAGAUCUACACCAAAUAUUAUUUUUUCUCA